AUCAUGAGUAAGAUGGGAAUCACAUACACACAAGGUUGUUUUGAGUUUGUUUGGGAUUCAAUCUCGGAUUUGAUGAUUGAUGGAGAAGAUUUAAGGUUAGAUGCUCUUGAUUAUUUCAACAAUCUGGUUCUGCACUCUACAUGUUUGAUAAAAUGUUUGUGAGAAGAUUCGAUUCUAUUUUGCUCGUUCAAAAUCAGAUCUGAAGAGGAUUUUAGAUCUUUGAUUGCUGGAAUCAACUUUUUGAAAUGAUCAAUCAGAAAUUGGUAAUUUUUGUUCUCAAAAGUUUAACAGAGAUCGGCUCAUCUUUCUAUAUGAUGAUAAUAUGAAAAUCAACAUGCUAACAGAUUUGCAAUGAUGUAGUAUAUUCAUCAUAUCUCAUUUAUCAGAGCACCAAUUGAGUCGAUUCAAAAAGCUCUGGUUAGAAAAACAUAAGGAUAUACAAGUUUCAUGUUUUAAGUUUUCAUAGAUUCAUAUUGUAGAUGGAUCAUAUGUAUCGUUGAAGUUGACAGUAGUGUGCUGAUGCAAAGCUGUUAUGCAUGGAGUCAGAUUUGCUUAUUCAUAGAAGGUUUAGAGCCUCUAGAGUGUCAAACCAGAGCCUCUGGAGUAAAGGACUAGAGCCUAUUAUGAAUUGUGUACUUUAUAGAAGAAGGGGCCUUAAGCCAAAUAUAACAUGUUGAAACAGAAGCUGUUGGAUAGAUCUGCACGACUGUGCUACAUCAAUCAUAUCUUCUUCGUCUGAACUCCAAGAAAGGUGAUUUUAAAUUUUUUAAGUAGCUAACAGACCAUUUUACACUUUUUCUUCUUUGAGUUUUUGCAAACUCCAUAGGUAUGCUAGUGAAAAAAGGUGUUGAAGUCGGUGUAACAUUGUCGUAUAAGAACCUUCUUUGUUGAUUUGUGUAUCAAAGACCAGAAGCAAACCAUGAAAGACCAAAGACAAGAUAUGAAGGACCAGAAUCUUUGGUUAUAUGGACCAAAAGCUCUAGUCAUAAUAGACUAGAAGAAAACCUUGAACGACCAAGAAGUUACUAAGAACAAGAGGCAUGAUCAACCAAAAGCUUGAUGAACUAGAGCCUUGUGCAACCAGAACUUUGAGCGACGAUAAGUCACGAUACCAGAGGUCAAAAAAGACCAGAUGGAAUGAGAAACCAAAGGUCACGAGGACCAGAAAUCACGGGGAACCAGAGCCCGUAGCCCAAUUUUCAAAUUUGCUGACAGCUUUGCGCUGUUGUAGCAUUUUGCGCACAACUUUCUCCUCAAAACUCCAAAAUGCAUGAUUUCAGUUUCUUUGGAAACCCAAACAUAUAUAUACCACUUUACAGUUUUGAGUUUGUUCAAA